rnacentral:rRNA from 1 species
UCGACGGCAGCACAAAAGAGCUUGCUCUUUGGGUGGCGAGUGGCGAACGGGUGAGUAAUACAUUGGAACGUACCGGGUAAUGGGGGAUAACCAAUCGAAAGAUUGGCUAAUACCGCAUACGCUCUGAGGAGGAAAGCGGGGGACCUUUGGGCCUCGCGUUAUUCGAGCGGCCAAUGACUGAUUAGCUAGUUGGUGGGGUAAGGGCCUACCAAGGCGACGAUCAGUAGCGGGUCUGAGAGGACGAUCCGCCACACUGGGACUGAGACACGGCCCAGACUCCUACGGGAGGCAGCAGUGGGGAAUUUUGGACAAUGGGGGCAACCCUGAUCCAGCCAUGCCGCGUGUAUGAAGAAGGCCUUCGGGUUGUAAAGUACUUUUGUUCGGGAAGAAAAGGAACCGGUUAAUACCCGGUUCUGCUGACGGUACCGAAAGAAUAAGCACCGGCUAACUACGUGCCAGCAGCCGCGGUAAUACGUAGGGUGCGAGCGUUAAUCGGAAUUACUGGGCGUAAAGCGAGCGCAGACGGUUACUUAAGCAGGAUGUGAAAUCCCCGGGCUCAACCUGGGAACUGCGUUCUGAACUGGGUAGCUAGAGUGUGUCAGAGGGAGGUAGAAUUCCACGUGUAGCAGUGAAAUGCGUAGAGAUGUGGAGGAAUACCGAUGGCGAAGGCAGCCUCCUGGGAUAACACUGACGUUCAUGUUCGAAAGCGUGGGUAGCAAACAGGAUUAGAUACCCUGGUAGUCCACGCCCUAAACGAUGUCGAUUAGCUGUUGGGCAACUUGAUUGCUUAGUAGCGUAGCUAACGCGUGAAAUCGACCGCCUGGGGAGUACGGUCGCAAGAUUAAAACUCAAAGGAAUUGACGGG